ACGAGAAGGGAAAAGUUUUAGGCAGACUAGCAAAAGUAUGUUCUGGUUGUAGGAUUCUCCUGUAGUCCCAUCUAUCUUGAAGCUCCAUAACUCCUAUGCAAUUCCAUCUCUGCAGGUAAAUCCGAGUAUUUAAAUUCUACCUUUGUGAGAAUUUAAGGGUAGUGAUUUAAAACUCAGAAUCAGGUUGGCCUUGCAAAUUUAUGAACUUGACCUGCAGUGAGCAAGAGACCAUUUAUUCGGGAAGAAAUUCAACUUUGUAAAUAUUUAAUUUCUAAGUGAUGAAUUGAAGAGAAGGUGAUUUAAAGAUUUCACUCAGCAUCAGAAUGGCCUUGUAAAAUUAUGAACUAGACCUGCAGUAAGCAAAGAGACCAUUUAUUUGGGA
rnacentral:lncRNA from 1 species